CGUCUCUCUUUUCUUUUCGGUUUCAUCUUUAUUUCCAGUUGUUGGCAUUAUUUUGAGGUUCCGAAUCCCAUGCCCUAGACUUCCUCAUUGUUUCGGUUUCUCUCUUGCGCUGCAUCUUAUUCCAGUGAGUUGCCGUCUGCUGCAUCUUUGUUUCUCUCCAUUUUUACGUUUCUGUUCUUCCUCUGCAAGUCAGCGAGUAGUACCUCUCAUUCCUCCAUUUUUCGACUGUUUCUGUUUUGGCAGUGAGGUUUGGGUUGCGUUUGUGUGUCUGGGUGUUGUGCGUGGUGAGUCUUCAGGUAAAUCUCUCUCUUUGCUCUCAGGUCGAUGCCUUCCCCGUACUUUAUUUCUUUGGUUUUAUGCAAUUCCGACUUUGAAUUGUUCUAGGCGGUGCCGUUGUUUUCUUCCCCACUCCAAAACCCCACUUUGACGCUCAUUUCUCUUACAGUCCAGUUGGUUUCACUUCUGUCCACUCAGUGUUUAAUCUCUUUGCUGUGGUUUGGCUUGAACUCUGUUGAACGGGUGAUGAGACUGAUAGAGGUCUUUUUCAAAGCUUAGAAAAUACGCUGUAGGAGUCAGG